UACGGAGGGUGCAAGCGUUGUCCGGAUUUAUUGGGUUUAAAGGGUGCGUAGGCGGCCCGGUAAGUCAGUGGUGAAAGCCUCCAGCUCAACUGGAGAAUUGCCAUUGAUACUGCCGGGCUUGAGUACAGACGAGGUUGGCGGAAUUGAUUGUGUAGCGGUGAAAUGCAUAGAUACAAUCAAGAACUCCGAUUGCGUAGGCAGCUAACUAGGCUGUAACUGACGCUGAGGCACGAAAGCGUGGGGAGCGAACAGG
rnacentral:rRNA from 1 species